UACGUAGGUGGCGAGCGUUGUCCGGAUUUACUGGGCGUAAAGAGCGCGCAGGCGGCUGGUCAAGUCCGAUGUGAAAGCUCCCGGCUUAACUGGGAAAUUGCAUCGGAAACUGAUCGGCUGGAAGGUGGGAGAGGGUAGCGGAAUUCCCGGUGUAGUGGUGAAAUGCGUAGAUAUUGGGAGGAACACCGGUGGCGAAGGCGGCUCUCUGGACCGGUACUGACGCUGAGACGCGAAAGCCAGGGGAGCAAACGGG
rnacentral:rRNA from 1 species